GGGUUGUGAGGUUAAGCGACUAAGCGUACACGGUGGAUGCCCUGGCAGUCAGAGGCGAUGAAGGACGUGCUAAUCUGCGAUAAGCGUCGGUAAGGUGAUAUGAACCGUUAUAACCGGCGAUUUCCGAAUGGGGAAACCCAGUGUGUUUCGACACACUAUCAUUAACUGAAUCCAUAGGUUAAUGAGGCGAACCGGGGGAAUUGAAACAUCUAAGUACCCC
rnacentral:rRNA from 1 species